UUUGAUCCGGAGGGCAGCGACCGGGGACUGCCGUUUCCUCCUCCCGCCCACUCCCCCCCCGCCACUGCCGUACAUCGAGGGCGCCCCCUGGAGGGAGGAAAAGCCCGAACCCACCCGGGUUGGUGUCUUGCCGCGUCUGGGGAGCCGCGAGCAGCGAGAGAGUCGUCUCUCCGGCUUUGAAGCGGAUUCCCUCCCCAGUCUUCUGCUAUGACAACAAGCUCCUGCUUAAAAAUGGCUGGACUAUUCCCUGAAUGUUCCAGGCAGCAUCUCUUGAAAGGAUGGUGUUCAUAACAUCAAAGAGCUGCUCAAUGCGCUGGUCUUGCCGGAGAUCCUCUCCUCCCUUCACAAGAAAGGGAUAUUCCCGCUCAUCGCUACCUCUGAUAAUUAUACGCUUUGGUUUCCGGAUGGACUCCAUAACUUUUAUCUUGGACAAAAUGGGGUGGGGAAAGGUUUUCACUCAAGAAAGGCAAUGGAAUAAUAUUCUCCAGAUUACCAACUGAAACCAUAGCUUACCAGGAACUUCCAGCUCAGUCCUCAAGAAUUCUGGUUUGAAGUCACUCAUCCAAGUUGAGCACUCCUUCAGAUUUCC